UCACUUUGCAUCAUCUGUUAUGAUAGGACAAACGGGCAUCCGAAGUGGCACGUCACGUGUAUCCAAAAAUGCCAUGUGACAUGCCAUGUGUCAAAAAUACCACAUGCCAGAUGUCAUUUUUGUCCACGUGGCAUGUCAUGUCGGACAUCCGUUUGUCCUACCGUGACGGAGGGUGUAAAGUGG
rnacentral:pre_miRNA from 1 species